ACGGGUGAGUAAUAUAUCGGAACGUGCCCAGUCGUGGGGGAUAACUACUCGAAAGAGUAGCUAAUACCGCAUACGACCUGAGGGUGAAAGCGGGGGAUCGCAAGACCUCGCGCGAUUGGAGCGGCCGAUAUCAGAUUAGGUAGUUGGUGGGGUAAAAGCCCACCAAGCCAACGAUCUGUAGCUGGUCUGAGAGGACGACCAGCCACACUGGGACUGAGACACGGCCCAGACUCCUACGGGAGGCAGCAGUGGGGAAUUUUGGACAAUGGGCGCAAGCCUGAUCCAGCCAUGCCGCGUGCGGGAAGAAGGCCUUCGGGUUGUAAACCGCUUUUGUCAGGGAAGAAAAGGUUCUGGUUAAUACCUGGGACUCAUGACGGUACCUGAAGAAUAGGCACCGGCUAACUACGUGCCAGCAGCCGCGGUAAUACGUAGGGUGCAAGCGUUAAUCGGAAUUACUGGGCGUAAAGCGUGCGCAGGCGGUUAUGCAAGACAGAGGUGAAAUCCCCGGGCUCAACCUGGGAACUGCCUUUGUGACUGCAUAGCUAGAGUACGGUAGAGGGGGAUGGAAUUCCGCGUGUAGCAGUGAAAUGC
rnacentral:rRNA from 1 species